AAAUGCCCCAUCCCCUUAAUUUAAAUCUGCAGUGUUCUUCUCUUCUAUUUCUCUCUGAUCCAAACACUUGUUCUGUCACAAAAAAGAGACAGAUGCUUAACUUGUCUCUCACAAUUAAUAAUGCCCAAUUCCUUAUCCUUUUGCCCUGACCAGCAAUUCUCUUUAAGUCUUUCAAAUUUAUUCUCUUUAACAUCAUAGCUAGUUCAAGUUCAUUUCUACUUUUAGCACCCACACUACAACCUAAAUAUUUCAAAACAUGUCCAAACAACUAGGAGAAUUCCUCCUAGAACAACAAGAACCUUUUACCUUAGAGCUUUACCUUCUUGAAAGAGGCCACACCCUUAGCUCAAAUGGCGAUUGUAGGUGCUGUUCUGUAAAUUCUACUACUAAAUUCUUGAAGAAAUCAGCCAGUUGUGGUACAAAGAAGAAAAGAAAAGUCAUUCCUAAUUGUUCUAAGAUUGUAAAAUCUGUGUUGAACAAGCUUGUUACCAUUAGCCAUAACCAAAAAAUCAAGAAUUUGGCAAGUGAACAACACAAUAAUGCUACAAUCAAGAAUGGCCAAGGCAAUACUAAUGCAAAUGAUGAUAACUUUUCUUCAGCAAGCAGCACUACUGUGUUCAAUUCUUGUUCAGAUACUAGUGAUGUAGAAGAAGCAGAUAAUUUAUCACCACAAGCUGUAGAUGGAAACUUUCUCAGUGAAAAACAGGUAACAGGUUUGUGAAGACAGAAAGCUAAGACUGGAUUUUCUUGAAGAAAGUAAGCAACUCAGCCCUGUGUCAGUGUUAGAAGAAACUGAAUCUUCUGAUGAGGAAUCCCCAGAUCUUAAAAAACAAGAAUGUGUCAAGCCAAAGAAGUUACAAGUGGAAUUUUCAACCCCAUCAGUUUCUAAAUCAGAGGAAACAAGUCCUGAGUCUCAGUACAUUAAUAGCAAGAAAGCAAUACAACAAUCAAGACAGCUCCUUUUUGACUGUGUGAAGGAAGUGGUAGAGAAUCAGAAAAGGAAAGAUCCUCAAGAAGAAGAAGGAUUUCAAAGAAUGUUAGGAGCUGAGCAACUUUGGGAGCUUCUAUUGGAGAAUAUAAGGUUAUGGAGUCAAGACUCUAUAAAUGAAACUAAUAUUAAAAACUUAAUGCAUUUUGACCUGUUGAAUUCUUUUGAACAGUCAAGUGGAUUUGAGGAGAAAAGGGAAAUAGGUAAGGUGAUUGCUGAUUUAAUUUUUGAUGAUAUUAGCAAUGAAAUUGUAAUAGACAUGUUUAAUUAUUUUACGUCAAGAUAAACUUGAAAAGUUUAGAAAAAAAAGUUAUAAUCA